rnacentral:rRNA from 1 species
UACGUAGGUGGCAAGCGUUGUCCGGAAUUAUUGGGCGUAAAGCGCGCGCAGGCGGUCCUUUAAGUCUGAUGUGAAAGCCCACGGCUCAACCGUGGAGGGUCAUUGGAAACUGGGGGACUUGAGUACAGAAGAGGAAAGCGGAAUUCCACGUGUAGCGGUGAAAUGCGUAGAGAUGUGGAGGAACACCAGUGGCGAAGGCGGCUUUCUGGUCUGUAACUGACGCUGAGGUGCGAAAAGCGUGGGGAGCAAACAGG